GCCUGCCCAAUGACUCUGUUAAACGGCCGCGGUAUCCUAACCGUGCGAAGGUAGCGUAAUCACUUGUUCUCUAAAUGAGGACUAGUAUGAAUGGCAUCACGAGGGCUAUCCUGUCUCCUUUUUCUAAUCAGUGAAACUAAUCUCCCCGUGAAGAAGCGGGGAUAAAAUUAUAAGACGAGAAGACCCUAUGGAGCUUUAAACAAUAUAGCACUUGCCAUAUAAAUUAAAUUUUUCCGAAUCAUUAAUAUCCUAAACAAUUUGACUAUAAGUUUUUGGUUGGGGUGACCACGGAGCAUAAUUUAACCUCCACGUUGAAAGAGCUUUUUCUAAGCUAAGAAUUACCUCUCUAAGCAUCAACAUAUUGACAUCAAUUGACCCAAUACACUUGAACAACGAACCAAGUUACCCUAGGGAUAACAGCGCA
rnacentral:rRNA from 1 species